rnacentral:rRNA from 1 species
AUUGAACGCUGGCGGCAUGCCUUACACAUGCAAGUCGAACGGUAACAGGUCUUCGGAUGCUGACGAGUGGCGAACGGGUGAGUAAUACAUCGGAACGUGCCUAGUAGUGGGGGAUAACUACUCGAAAGAGUGGCUAAUACCGCAUGAGAUCUACGGAUGAAUGCAGGGGAUCGCAAGACCUUGUGCUACUAGAGCGGCCGAUGGCGGAUUAGGUAGUUGGUGGGAUAAAAGCUUACCAAGCCGACGAUCUGUAGCUGGUCUGAGAGGACGAUCAGCCACACUGGGACUGGGACACGGCCCAGACUCCUACGGGAGGCAGCAGUGGGGAAUUUUGGUCAAUGGGCGAAAGCCUGAUCCAGCAAUGCCGCGUGCAGGAUGAAGGCCUUCGGGUUGUAAACUGCUUUUGUACGGAACGAAAAGCCCUGGGUUAAUACCCUGGGGUCAUGACGGUACCGUAAGAAUAAGCACCGGCUAACUACGUGCCAGCCGCCGCAGUAA